rnacentral:lncRNA from 13 species
CUGAGACUUUGGGGUUGUUUGCUACCACAACAUACUGGAUAAAAGUUGACAUACAAGAAAGAGUGAGAGUCAGAUAUGCGGCAAUUUCAACUGCUAAGACUGUAGAAGAAAGCUCUCUUUAACUGCACCACGACGGCCCUGAUUGUUUUGGUUCUUCUGGGUCCAUAUGAAUUUUAGGAUCAGCUUGUCAAUUUCUGCAGAAACCAGCUCUUGAUAUUCUCCUGGCCACACUGAUCACAGUGCUUUUGCUCUCCCUGGCCACAGGUGCUGAUAACCAGAUAGAAUGCUGUUCUUGUUGGGAAGUGUACUAGCACUGGAAGUGAAUGCAUUGUGAUAACCUAGAAUACAUUUUUGUUACACAGAAA